UCCUUGUGACGACAUGUACCACGCCUGC
rnacentral:sRNA from 1 species